UGUAUCCUGAAAUGUUCGAUAACUCUUGUCAUUUUGAACCUACAUUUACUUUAAACGGGAUGCUUACAUUGGAGCAUGGAUGUCAGGCCUUCAUUGUGCAGAGGAAGGCAGAAGUGCUAUCUGCGGCUGCCCACCUAGCUUUGCUAGGAGUCAAAAUACAAGAACCGGCAUUUUGGGUUACAA
rnacentral:other from 1 species